rnacentral:rRNA from 1 species
UACGGAGGGUGCAAGCGUUAAUCGGAAUUACUGGGCGUAAAGGGUGCGUAGGCGGUUCGUUAAGUCUGUCGUGAAAUCCCCGGGCUCAACCUGGGAAUGGCGAUGGAUACUGGCGAGCUAGAGUGUGUCAGAGGAUGGUGGAAUUCCCGGUGUAGCGGUGAAAUGCGUAGAGAUCGGGAGGAACAUCAGUGGCGAAGGCGGCCUUCUGGACCAAUACUGACGCUCAUGCACGAAAGCGUGGGGAGCAAACAGG